GAGUCGAUCCUAAGCCAACUGUGAAAGCAGUGACAUCCCGACAAAGGGGCAAAUCGUGUGACGGCCGCACUGACACGCGCUUGUGUGCACAUUCGCAAGUCUCCUCUCUCUCGGUCGGCACGCGCGCAUGCAAACGAUUGGUGCGCGCGUGUGCGAGUCUCUGGUUGCGCUCGAAAGCGUUAUAAAACACAGAGAGAGAAAACGAGGCAGUGCCGCGCUUGUGUUUUGUGUGUGCUCGUUCGUUCUUAAGGCUCCCUGCGUCUGGUUCUAUGUCUGGCGAAAGGGAAUGGGGACUUUGUUCCUUGACCGGUCCCGGCACCCUCGAUAGGCUUUGCCAAUCAAUGGUCCAUGCAAAUGGAACCAGGCCACAGCCGCCGGCAGUCGCC
rnacentral:rRNA from 1 species